rnacentral:rRNA from 1 species
ACUCCUACGGGAGGCAGCAGUAGGGAAUAUUGGACAAUGGGCGCAAGCCUGAUCCAGCCAUGCCGCGUGAGUGAAGAAGGCCCUCGGGUUGUAAAGCUCUUUUGUUGGGGAAGAAAAGCCUUGGGUUAAUACCCCGGGUCCGUGACGGUACCCAAAGAAUCAAGCACCGGACUAACGUUCAUGUGCCAGCAGCCGCGGUAAUACGAAGGGUGCAAGCGUUACUCGGAAUUACUGGGCGUAAAGCGUGCGUAGGUGGUUCGUUAAGUCUGAUGUGAAAGCCCUGGGCUCAACCUGGGAAUUGCAUUGGAUACUGGCGGGCUAGAGUGCGGUAGAGGGUAGUGGAAUUCCCGGUGUAGCAGUGAAAUGCGUAGAGAUCGGGAGGAACAUCUGUGGCGAAGGCGACUGCCUGGACCAGCACUGACACUGAGGCACGAAAGCGUGGGGAGCAAACAGGAUUAGAUACCCUGGUAGGCUCU